CUGAAGCUGCCCACCUAAUUGCCCUUUUUCCUCUGAUUCAUCUCUUUUUUUGUUUUUCCCCAGCUCUCUGCAGUGGGAGAAGUGAGAGAAACUAAGCUGCAUCGUGCAAGGCUGGAGAUGGAGAGGAGGAAGUUGGAGCCUCCUCAGUGAACUUCAGCUUUUCUGCUAUGGGGGAACUGGUGGGAAAAGUUCAGAAAAGAAUCCUCCAGGUGUGAAGUCUGAUGUCAGUCAGCCUCAGAAAACCAGCACCAGCUGAGCUGAGGACCUGCAAGCAAGUGUCAG
rnacentral:lncRNA from 1 species